GCAAGCUUUCUUUGCUAAUCCACUAGAAUGGUGGGAUAAUAGGAAGAACAAGAGGAGUCCAAACUAUCCAGACUUCAAGCACAAAGAUACCGGUGAAGCAUUGUGGGUAGAAGGCAGAUACAAUCCAACAUGGGUGAAAUCUCAACUUGCAGUACUGGAUUCAAAGAUGGAGUCUUUUCAUGAUCAAAAUGGCAGCAGAAAUGCAGAGUUCAUGUCCAUGGAUAAUUUCCAAUUUUAGUUGUUCCCCAUUUGUUU
rnacentral:misc_RNA from 1 species